UUCAUGGUAAGUAACAGUCACACAGGCAAGGGGGCUGGUGGUGGUGAUGAGAUGGUUGAAGAUGUUUAUUUUCAAAGAAGAUGUUCUAUUUGUUUCCCCCGAUGGUUCACCCUGGGGUCCUGGCCCCUCUUCCCUGUGAUGAGAAUGUGUAAUAAGCAUGUGUACAUGGAAUAGGGAGAUGAAUUCUAUUUCCCUUCUUUUCUGGACACAGUGAGUCAACUAGGGAGUGGGCUGCUUCACAAACACUUUUGUGUCUAACCUCAUCUUUUACCUGGGUUGCCCUUGUGUUUCUUGCAGGGAUUUUGGACCAGGGGGAGGGUGUCCUGAUUAUUUUCGAUGAACCCCCAGUAGAUAAAACUUAUGAAGCUGCUCUGGAAACAAUUCAGAACAUGAGCAAAGUAGUGGAUUCCCUCUACAACAAAGCCAAGAAACUGACAUAGAGUUGGAUCUGUAGCGGUCCUUUGGAGAGUGUGUGUGGCGGGAGAGUGAAACCUUGGGGGAAAAUGCUAGGAGAUUCUUUUUUCUUUUUGUUCUACUUUUCGCUCGGAAAGUUUUUAAAUCCUCAUUUGGUGCAUCUGUAUUCCAGCCAAUAGGUGUGCCAGUUUUCAUGUAAUCUUUACUGGCCCAACUUGGGAGUGGGGAAAUUGCUUAAAAAAAAAGAAAAAGAAAA
rnacentral:sRNA from 1 species